rnacentral:rRNA from 1 species
AUUUAAACUCUAGCCUAAACAUUUUUUACUUUAUUAUAUUACAUAAAACAUUUUUAUACGAAAGUACGGGUGACAGAAAACUUAUUAGCGCAAUAAAUUAAGUACUGCAAAGGAAAGAUGAAAUAGAAAUUAAAUAAUAUAAAAUAUAAAUAAGCAAAGUUAAAUACUUUUACCUUUUGCAUAAUGGCCUAGCCAGUCCACUUUAACAAAAAGAAUUUUAGCUAAACACCCCGAAACCAGACGAGCUACCUUUAGGCAGCAAUAUAUGAGCAAACUCUUCUCUGUGGCAAAAGAAUGAGAAGACCUAAAAGUAGGGGCGAAAAACCUAACGAGCCUGGAUAUAGCUGGUUACUUGAGAAUGAAUUUAAGUUCAAUUAAAAAUAUUUUUAUCUAUGAAAGAAUUAAAUAAUAUUUUUAUUUUAAUUAAUGGGGGUACAGCCCAAUUAAUAAAGGAAACAACCUCUACAAAUAAAUAAAGAUUAUAAUAAAUAAAGAAAUUAAUACUGUAGGCCUAAAAGCAGCCAUCAUUAAAAGCGUCACAGCUCAAUUUAAAAAAUACUUAUAAUUCCAAUUACAUAUCUUAAUUUAUUAUAUUAAUCAAGUUAAUCUAUAAUUUAGAUGUACUACUACUAGAAUGAGUAAUAAGGUAAGAAAACCUCUAUAAUACAUGUGUAUAUCAAAAUGAACAAAUCAUUGAUGUUUAACAUAAUAUCUUUCCUUCAAGAAUAUAUUCUAAUAAAUGUUAACCCAACACAGGAGUAUUAAAGGAAAAAUUUAAAAUUUAUAAAGGAACUCGGCAAACAAUAAGCUUCGCCUGUUUACCAAAAACAUCGCCCCUUGAUUUAAAACCAUAGGGGGUACUGCCUGCCCAGUGAUAAAUAUUCAACGGCCGCGGUAUUAUAACCGUGCAAAGGUAGCGUAAUCACUUGUCUUUUAAAUAAAGACCAGUAUGAAUGGCAAAACGAAAACUUAACUGUCUCCUUAAAUUGAUUAAUGAAAUUGAUCUCCCCGUGCAGAAGCGGGGAUAGUACUAUAAGACGAGAAGACCCUAUGGAGCUUUAAAUUUAAAUUAAUUAUAUUAAAAUAUAAAAUAUAAUAAAUAAUAUAAACAAAAAUUUUAGGUUGGGGCGACCACGGAGCAAACUUUAACCUCCGAGAUAAAUAAUUAAGAAUUACACUUCAAAAUAAUAAAAUAUUAGUAUAUUUGAUCCAAUAUUUGAUCAACGAACUAAGUUACCCUAGGGAUAACAGCGCAAUCUCCUCAAAGAGUUCAUAUCGAUGAGCAGGUUUACGACCUCGAUGUUGGAUCAGGACUUCCCAAUGGUGCAGCAACUAUUAAAGGUUCGUUUGUUCAACGAUUAAAGUCCUACGUGAUCUGAGUUCAGACCGGAGUAAUCCAGGUCAGUUUCUAUCUAUAAAUAGUUUUUCCUAGUACGAAAGGACCGGAAAAAAAAGGCCUAUAAUAAAUUUAAGCCUUCUUAUUUAUCUCUGAAAUUUAUAAAAAGAAAAAUAAGAAAAAUAUAGAUCAAGAAAUGAUUU